GGCCACUGCUGGUUAGUGCUUUCAACAUGAGGGGUGCCUUACGACUUGCAAGACCUGCCUCACAGCCAUUAUAUGUGUACCUGACUGUGGUUUGGCUGUUAGAAAACUAAAAUAAAGAUGUUUGGUCAAAAAAGUUUGGAGCAUCCUCCACAAUCAUUCCCUAGAGAAUGACACCAUACAUCAGUCUACAGAUUACUGUGAACAGUCCUGCAGUGGAUAAAUGUGAUUAAUGUAUUCACUCAAAAAUUUUAAAAUUCUGAUUUGGAAAUUACACUUUAUAUCUGGAAAGCUCUUAACCUCUGUGGAGUCUAACCUGGCUAUUGACAGUAAAACAGAACGUGAAAAAAUGUAUUUGGAUUUCAUCCUGGUAUAUGUAAAUAUUUGCUGGAAUAUAUUGCCACCUGCACUAAACUUCAGUAUGAGGAAUAUUAAGUCACUGGCAAGAUUUCAUUCAGUUGACAGUAUUUCUAAAUUUACUCCUUUGAUUGUUAUAUGUCAAGCAUAUUAAACAAAUGAAGGACCUGGUGCUGAAAAAUCAGUUACAGAUCAUUGAGUUCAAGAUUAAAUAUAUCGGGUAAUUCAGGAACAAUGGAA